rnacentral:rRNA from 1 species
CCCUUAGAUGUUCUGGGCGGCCCGCGCACUACAUUGGCACUCUCAAUAAGUUCCUAGAUCUAAAACUUUGGGGUAUUCUAUUAAGUGGUGUCGUGACUGGGAUUAACCCUUGCAAUUAUUGGUUACGAACGAGGAAUUCCUUGUAAUCGCGGUUUAUCAGCCCGCGUUGAAUGCGUCCCUGCCCUUUGUACACACCGCCCGUCGCUCCUACCGAUGAAUCGUCCGGUGAAGUUCAUGGAGUGGUGGUUGUUCCAGCUGCUGUCGAAGUGAAAUGGACCUCACGAUUUAGAGGAAGGAGAAGGCGUAACA